rnacentral:misc_RNA from 1 species
UCAACCAUCAAGUCUGACUUGUCGUUGGGCCCCUUUGCCGGUGAAAUAGGCGGCAGGUCCGAAAGAUAAUGACGGCGUCGUGUUGGACCCUAGAUGCAACGAGCUUUUGACAGCACGCAUUGAAGUGGCCGACCGACCCGGUCUUAACCAUCAUUUUCUCA